rnacentral:rRNA from 1 species
UACGGAGGGGGCUAGCGUUGUUCGGAAUUACUGGGCGUAAAGCGCACGUAGGCGGCUUUGUAAGUUAGAGGUGAAAGCCCGGGGCUCAACUCCGGAAUUGCCUUUAAGACUGCAUCGCUAGAAUUGUGGAGAGGUAAGUGGAAUUCCGAGUGUAGAGGUGAAAUUCGUAGAUAUUCGGAAGAACACCAGUGGCGAAGGCGACUUACUGGUCCAUAACUGACGCUGAGGUGCGAAAGCGUGGGGAGCAAACAGG